rnacentral:rRNA from 1 species
GUGCUUGCACCGAGCGGAUGAGUUGCGAACGGGUGAGUAACGCGUAGGUAACCUGCCUCUUAGCGGGGGAUAACUAUUGGAAACGAUAGCUAAUACCGCAUAAAAGUCGACAUCGCAUGAUGUUGACUUGAAAGGUGCAAUUGCAUCACUAAGAGAUGGACCUGCGUUGUAUUAGCUAGUUGGUGAGGUAACGGCUCACCAAGGCGACGAUACAUAGCCGACCUGAGAGGGUGAUCGGCCACACUGGGACUGAGACACGGCCCAGACUCCUACGGGAGGCAGCAGUAGGGAAUCUUCGGCAAUGGGGGCAACCCUGACCGAGCAACGCCGCGUGAGUGAAGAAGGUUUUCGGAUCGUAAAGCUCUGUUGUAAGAGAAGAACGAGUGUGAGAGUGGAAAGUUCACACUGUGACGGUAACUUACCAGAAAGGGACGGCUAACUACGUGCCAGCAGCCGCGGUAAUACGUAGGUCCCGAGCGUUAUCCGGAUUUAUUGGGCGUAAAGCGAGCGCAGGCGGUUAGAUAAGUCUGAAGUUAAAGGCUGUGGCUUAACCAUACUACGCUUUGGAAACUGUUUAACUUGAGUGCAGAAGGGGAGAGUGGAAUUCCAUGUGUAGCGGUGAAAUGCGUAGAUAUAUGGAGGAACACCGGUGGCGAAAGCGGCUCUCUGUUCUGUAACUGA